AUUGAACGCUGGCGGCAGGCCUAACACAUGCAAGUCGAGCGGAUGAAGGGAGCUUGCUCCUGGAUUCAGCGGCGGACGGGUGAGUAAUGCCUAGGAAUCUGCCUGGUCGUGGGGGAUAACGUCCGGAAACGGGCGCUAAUACCGCAUACGUCCUGAGGGAGAAAGUGGGGGAUCUUCGGACCUCACGCUAUCAGAUGAGCCUAGGUCGGAUUAGCUAGUUGGUGGGGUAAAGGCCUACCAAGGCGACGAUCCGUAACUGGUCUGAGAGGAUGAUCAGUCACACUGGAACUGAGACACGGUCCAGACUCCUACGGGAGGCAGCAGUGGGGAAUAUUGGACAAUGGGCGAAAGCCUGAUCCAGCCAUGCCGCGUGUGUGAAGAAGGUCUUCGGAUUGUAAAGCACUUUAAGCGGGGAGGAAGGGCAGUAAGUUAAUACCUUGCUGUAUUGACGUUACCAACAGAAUAAGCACCGGCUAACUUCGUG
rnacentral:rRNA from 1 species